rnacentral:tRNA from 1 species
AGGAGAAUAGUUUAAUUAAAAUAUAUGCUUUGGAGGUUUAAGAUGUUUACUUUUCCUU